CGCAGCUACGCAGCCAUGCAGUCGAGCGGAUGACGGGAGCUUGCUCCUUGAUUCAGCGGCGGACGGGUGAGUAAUGCCUAGGAAUCUGCCUGGUAGUGGGGGACAACGUUUCGAAAGGAACGCUAAUACCGCAUACGUCCUACGGGAGAAAGCAGGGGACCUUCGGGCCUUGCGCUAUCAGAUGAGCCUAGGUCGGAUUAGCUAGUAGGUGAGGUAAUGGGUCACCUAUGCGA
rnacentral:rRNA from 1 species